rnacentral:rRNA from 1 species
ACGAUUGACGGAGCGAAGCGACGUCAAAGCGUUCAUUAAAGUCGAGUUGGCUUAGGGAUACGUUCGUUGGGUAGGGGAGCGUUCUGUAAGCCUGUGAAGGUGUGUCGUGAGGCAUGCUGGAGGUAUCAGAAGUGCGAAUGCUGACAUAAGUAACGAUAAAGCGGGUGAAAAGCCCGCUCGCCGGAAGACCAAGGGUUCCUGUCCAACGUUAAUCGGGGCAGGGUGAGUCGACCCCUAAGGCGAGGCCGAAAGGCGUAGUCGAUGGGAAACGGGUUAAUAUUCCCGUACUUGGUGUUACUGCGAAGGGGGGACGGAGAAGGCUAUGUUGGCCGGGCGACGGUUGUCCCGGUUUAAGCGUGUAGGUGUGUGUUCCAGGUAAAUCCGGUUCACUUUAACACUGAGGCGUGACGACGAGGCACUACGGUGCUGAAGCAACAAAUGCCCUGCUUCCAGGAAAAGCCUCUAAGC